CACCUUCAAAUGCCUUAUCCCUCAGAUCUAAAUAUUGGUCUUGGUUGUUUAAAAGGGAGGGAAAGUAAAAUAUAAAUGGACUUGGAGUCUUUAAUAACAUAUGAGUUCAUUUCAAACAUUA
rnacentral:snoRNA from 1 species